AGUAGGAUUGACAGAUUGAGAGCUCUUUCUUGAUUCAGUGGGUGGUGGUGCAUGCCGUUCUUAGUUGGUGGAGUGAUUUGUCUGGUUAAUUCCGAUAACGAACGAGACUCUAGCCUACUAAAUAGUCCGCCGAUCANUNUUUAUUGGCGNCUUCUUNUAAGGAGAACGGCCNNUUUCCGCC
rnacentral:rRNA from 1 species